AAGGAUCAGUCGUGUAUUGGAUUUGGAGGUUGAUGCGGCAAUCUGUUGCUCCCUCUGCUUUCAUUAUCGAUGACGUGCAAGUCACGUUAAGCGGUCAGAGUGCCUAUCCUCGACCAACAUCACAGAGUGUCUUUGAACACGUUAAUCGGUGAGAGGUUAUUCUCCACCAAUGGAGAAUGAAGCGGCAACGCUGACUCCAAACAUGAAGGUUGAAGUCGGAUUGUGCCACCUCCUUGUGGUAACCUUUGGAAAUGACAGCAUCCAAUGCUGUCAGCCAAGGCACAAACGCAAUGCAACCAAUGUCCUCUUGUGAGGCAUAGGGUGAUUUUGUUACAACUGUUCACAAUUUAUUGAUAACAUAACAUGAACGCGCUGGAUCCCUUGGCAUGCUGAGACGAUGAAGAACGUAGCGAGCUGCGAAAUGUGAUGUGAAUUGCAAAUCCAAAGCGAUCUCGUGAAUCAUCGAAUCUUUGAACGCACUGCACCGCCCUUUAUGGGAGUGGUACGCCCGAAUGAGCGUCAUAUUACUCUUCAGGCUGGUAUUCUUAACUGUUGAAUCAGUGAGCAAUGUGUUACUACACCCCACCUUCUAGGAGGUGGCAGAGGUAACAUGGUGUGAGGAUGCCUUGCUCUGGUUACGGGGCUGCCUGGUAAGACAAACUGCUUGUCUUCCAUGUGCCUUUAGAUGCAUUAGCAGACCUGGCACUACUUUACGUCUGUACCGCAGUGUGAUACUGAUGAUCACUGCUGGGAGUGAAGCAUUCCAACUGCUGCUAACCUGCCCUUGGGCAAACCCCACUGUUCUCAGUGACAUAUGACAAUUGGUCUCACUCGGGUGUGAUGACCCGCUUGAUUUAAGCAUAUUAUUCAGCGGAGGAAAAGAAACUAACGAGGAUUCCCCUAGUAACGGCGAGUGAAGAGGGAUGAGC
rnacentral:rRNA from 1 species